rnacentral:tRNA from 3 species
GUCUUCGUAGUAUAUAGAUUACCUUGGUCUUGUAAACCAAAAAAGGAGAACAUGUGCCCUCCCUAAGACU